rnacentral:rRNA from 1 species
UCACAGGAAACAGCUAUGACCAUGAUUACGCCAAGCUUGGUACCGAGCUCGGAUCCACUAGUAACGGCCGCCAGUGUGCUGGAAUUCGGCUUAUUACCGCGGCUGCUGGCACGGAGUUAGCCGGUGCUUCUUCUGUCGGUAACGUCACACUCGAAGAGU